UACGUAGGGAGCGAGCGUUGUCCGGAAUUACUGGGUGUAAAGGGAGCGUAGGCGGGGAUGCAAGUUGGGUGUUAAAUCUACCGGCUCAACUGGUAGUCGCACUCAAAACUGCAGCUCUUGAGUGAAGUAGAGGCAGGCGGAAUUCCUAGUGUAGCGGUGAAAUGCGUAGAUAUUAGGAGGAACACCAGUGGCGAAGGCGAUUUGCUGGGCCAUCACUGACGCUGAGGUACGAAAGCGUGGGGAGCAAAUAGG
rnacentral:rRNA from 1 species